CGGGAAAAUACGCCGGUCCGUAGGAUCCUCUUGCGUUUAACAUCUUGCACUCUUUCUGCCCGGCAGUAGCGCUCGGUUGUUCCGAGGAAAUAAUGUCCGUGCACAGUUUUCGUUGUGCAAGCAAAAAAGCGUUGCAGCCAUACUCGCUUGACUAUACUGUGUCGACUUAAAGUAAAAUGUCAACGCCGUAUUUAUGUGUGACCAGGCGAAAUAAGCUUUCUUCGUCCGGAUACGACCCGACUCGUCCGACUACCACAAAUAUUACUGCGCAAUAAAUUUGUUGCGAAAUUAUAAUACGAAAUCUAGCGAUCG